rnacentral:rRNA from 1 species
AUUGAACGCUGGCGGCAGGCCUAACACAUGCAAGUCGAGCGGAUGAAGGGAGCUUGCUCCUGGAUUCAGCGGCGGACGGGUGAGUAAUGCCUAGGAAUCUGCCUGGUAGUGGGGGAUAACGUCCGGAAACGGGCGCUAAUACUGCAUACGUCCUGAGGGAGAAAGUGGGGGAUCUUCGGACCUCACGCUAUCAGAUGAGCCUAGGUCGGAUUAGCUAGUUGGUGGGGUAAAGGCCUACCAAGGCGACGAUCCGUAACUGGUCUGAGAGGAUGAUCAGUCACACUGGAACUGAGACACGGUCCAGACUCCUACAGGAGGCAGCAGUGGGGAAUAUUGGACAAUGGGCGAAAGCCUGAUCCAGCCGUGCCGCGUGUGUGAAGAAGGUCUUCGGAUUGUAAAGCACUUUAAGUUGGGAGGAAGGGCAGUAAGUUAAUACCUUGCUGUUUUGACGUUACCAACAGAAUAAGCACCGGCUAACUUCGUG